UGUCAGAGAUCAGCUGUUCUUCUCUGGCUUCAGCUCUGAGGUCAAACCCCUCUCAUCUGAGAGAACUGGAUCUGAGCUACAACGGCCUGCAGGACUCAGGAGUGAAGGAGCUGCUUGAUCUACAGCAGAGUCCAACCUGUCGACUGGAGACUCUGAGGUGGGAGGAGUCUUGGUGGAGCAGAGUGUGAAGAGGACAGUGUGUGUGGACGGAGGCUGAGCUGUGUCCUGAGGAUCCAGAGGCUGAAGCAGCAGCAGCUUGUGUGUAGUCUCCAAUCUACACAACCACUAAUCUGCAUGUGUUUGUGAGAUGAAGCCGGAGCACCUGGAGAAAACACGUGGAGAACAUGCAGACUCCACACAGGAAGACCCAUCUGAACCGGAUUCAAACCAGCAACCUUCCUGCCCCGAUUGUGUUUAUUCACAUGAAGAAUGUGUUUAUUGAAAUGACACAACACAAGCAGAAUAUAUAAACCCUCUAUAAAGAGUCACAUACA